rnacentral:tRNA from 1 species
UCCCGUGUGGCUCAGUUGGUAGAGCAUGGUGUUUGCAAUGCCAGGGUUGUGGGUUUGUUUCCCACAGGGGAC